UGUUGUGCAUCUGUUGUAAGAUGUGUUUGUUAUAUUAGUGCACUUUUACGUGGGCAUUAUUUAUUCAUUCCUUUUUUGCUGAUCAGAGUUUUUAUUCCAGUUUGUCCACUUCUAGGACUAGAGAGAAUGCUGCUGAAUGUGUUCCAGGAACCUGAAAAUCUCCACAACUCAGAACCACACUGACCAGAAAGUAGCUAAUAGCAGGAAGAGGAGCCAGAUACCACAGAAACUCCUGUUGUUCUCCUCACCUUCAGCUGUUCGUUUAACACCUUUCACCCACGUCACAUAUUCACCUGUUCACCGCGGCGGCUGCAUGGAGAGGGGGCGAAGAUGACCUUGACUUCUUCGUAGGAUAGGGUGAAUGAACCAGUCCAGUGGUUUCGUCUACGCAGUCCGCCAGAGCCAGUCUUCACAUGCAAAUAUAGACUGUGUCGAGUAUGAUCACCUGAGGGUUUCAGACCGACCGGCUACCCUCCAUCUGGUUUAGCCCGCCUGCCUCAACCCUUGGCCGGAGUGUGGCCGCUGCGCAUGCUACAGCUUCGAGGAGCCACAGGUGAGAGCAGAGUGUCAGGUGGGAGCAAACAUUGUCCGGGUUAUCCUGAAAGGGGGCAUGGCAAGCCCUCCUACAGAGGUACUAUCCCUCCCUGAACACCCCAUACACCCCCAAAAACAUGUACUCAAAACAUAAUGGUGUAAACUUAAGGUAUUAUAACUUUUAACAUAUAUCAGAAUAAUAGGCAUGAAAUCCAUCACAAAAUAAUA